rnacentral:rRNA from 1 species
UACCUAGAGUUGUAGGCUUUGCCUGCUAUCUCUUACCCAUGUCUUUUAAGUACCUUCGUUUCCUCGGCGGGUUCGCCCGCCGAUUGGACAAUUUAAACCAUUUGCAGUUGCAAUCAGCGUCUGAAAAAACUUAAUAGUUACAACUUUCAACAACGGAUCUCUUGGUUCUGGCAUCGAUGAAGAACGCAGCGAAAUGCGAUAAGUAGUGUGAAUUGCAGAAUUCAGUGAAUCAUCGAAUCUUUGAACGCACAUUGCGCCCCUUGGUAUUCCAUGGGGCAUGCCUGUUCGAGCGUCAUUUGUACCUUCAAGCUCUGCUUGGUGUUGGGUGUUUGUCUCGCCUCUGCGUGUAGACUCGCCUCAAAACAAUUGGCAGCCGGCGUAUUGAUUUCGGAGCGCAGUACAUCUCGCGCUUUGCACUCAUAACGACGACGUCCAAAAGUACAUUUUUACACUCUUGACCUCGGAUCAGGUAGGGAUACCCGCUGAACUUAAGCAUAUCAAUA